GAGGGGAAGAUGAGAGGGAGGAGUAACAAAAGUGAAAACAAAAUCUUGAAAGUGAAAACAAUUUGAAAUAGAUUUCAGUUUUUAGUUUUUGUUUUCACUUUUGUUACUCCUCCCUCCCAUCCUCUCCUCUC
rnacentral:miRNA from 1 species